GACGAACGCUGGCGGCGUGCUUAACGCAUGCAAGUCGAACGGGCCUGUCUUCUUUUUUGGGGGUGGGUUGAGUGGCGAACGGGUGAGUAUCACGUGAGUAACCUGCCCUUCGGUCCUGGAUAACCGCUUGAAAGGGCGGCUAAUACGGGGUGGUCCGGUUGGUCCGCAUGGGCUGGUCGGGAUAGAUUCACUGUUUUUGGUGUUUCGGCGGGGGAUGGGCUCGCGGCCUAUCAGCUUGUUGGUGGGGUGAUGGCCUACCAAGGCGGUGACGGGUAGCCGGCCUGAGAGGGUGGGCGGCCACACUGGGACUGAGAUACGGCCCAGACUCCUGCGGGAGGCAGCAGUGGGGGGUAUUGCACAAUGGGCGGAAGCCUGAUGCAGCGACGUCGCGUGAGGGAUGGAGGCCUUCGGGUUGUGAACCUCUGUUUCCGGUGGUGAAGGCCCUGUCCGUGUGGUGGGGUUGACGGUAGCCGGGGAUGAAGCGCCGGCUAACUACGUG
rnacentral:rRNA from 1 species